CAGUAGCCGCGGGAAUACGGAGGGAGCUAGCGUUGUUCGGAAUUACUGGGCGUAAAGCGCGCGUAGGCGGUUACUCAAGUCAGAGGUGAAAGCCCGGGGCUCAACCCCGGAACUGCCUUUGAAACUAGGUGACUAGAAUCUUGGAGAGGUCAGUGGAAUUCCGAGUGUAGAGGUGAAAUUCGUAGAUAUUCGGAAGAACACCAGUGGCGAAGGCGACUGACUGGACAAGUAUUGACGCUGAGGUGCGAAAGCGUGGGGAGCAAACAGGAUUAGAUACCCCCGUAGUCCCUGUCUCUUAUAC
rnacentral:rRNA from 1 species